UAGGCCACAUGCUUGACUCGGUCUUGCAGCCCUUCAGGCAAUGAAGGAUUGCAGACAGCCACAGCCAUGCCCACAAAGCUGCGCAGGUGCCCUCUGGAACCAGCGAUUUGAGAGGGAAUAAACGACCUCGGAUCAUUCUGAAUGCAACUCCCAUUCUUGGGAGCUGUGUGACCCUGGGCAAGUUACUUAAUCUCUUUGAUCUGUAGUAUCUCAACCGGAAGAAGAUUGUGAACAAUGCUGACCUCAUAGCAGUUUUUGAAGAUUCCUUGAAAUGCUG